AGAACGAACGCUGGCGGCAUGCCUAAUACAUGCAAGUCGAACGAACACUUCGGUGUUAGUGGCGCACGGGUGCGUAACGCGUGGGAAUCUGCCCUUGGGUUCGGAAUAACAGUUGGAAACGACUGCUAAUACCGGAUGAUAUCGAAAGAUCAAAGAUUUAUCGCCCAGGGAUGAGCCCGCGUAGGAUUAGCUAGUUGGUGAGGUAAAGGCUCACCAAGGCGACGAUCCUUAGCUGGUCUGAGAGGAUGAUCAGCCACACUGGGACUG
rnacentral:rRNA from 1 species